UUCAGUUAGCCCACAACGCCUUGCUUAGCCACACCCCUAAGGGAACUCAGCAGUAAUAAACAUUAAGCAAUGAGUGUAAACUUGACUUAGUUAAAACCAAGAGGGCCGGUAAAACUCGUGCCAGCCACCGCGGUUAUACGAGAGGCCCAAGUUGACAAAUGCCGGCGUAAAAUGUGGUUUAUACAGUAUUGCACUAAAGCUAAACUUCUUCAAAGCUGUCAUACGCACUCGAAGAAAAGAGGACCUUCCGCGAAAGUGGCUUUAAAUAAUAUUAACCCACGAAAGCUAGGAAACAAACUGGGAUUAGAUACCCCACUAUGCCUAGCCCUAAACACAAGUGACUACUUACACCCCUCGCUUGCCAGGGAACUACGAGCCCCAGCUUAAAACCCAAAGGACUUGGCGGUGCUUUAGACCCACCUAGAGGAGCCUGUUCUAGAACCGAUAACCCCCGUUAAACCUCACCCUCCCUUGUCACUCCC
rnacentral:rRNA from 1 species